GGGAAAUUCUGUCUUGAAAAACAACAACAAAUAGGUAUUUGAACUAUAACAUAUUUUAUACAUAUACCCAUGUAUACAAAAUACAUAGGAUACAAACUUUCAUAUACAUAUAGAAAUAUACUCAUACAUGGAAACUUAUUUGUACAUUUCUAAAUACACGUUUAGAUUCUAAAUGUGAUAAAAACAGUUUAGCUAAAAAGUCUCCCAAAUAUGAAAGUUAUUUUGUCUCAAAUUUAAACUAAUUCCUGGCAUGAAGGCAUGAAUAUCUGAACUCUGAGCAGUCAGGAGAGGAUGAUAUCAGAGGGCCAUGGAAUUGAGACUAUUUUGGGCUACAAAAUGGACCCAAACCUGCCUCUAAACAAAAACAAGCAAACAAACAAAAAAACGCACUAAAAUCAUAAGCCUUUAGAAUAUUUAAAAGGAGGACAGGCAGGAAGUCCACUUCAAAAGUCAACACACAUCACCCUCUUGAUAUCCAAGAUAGAUUUCCAGAGAUGGUGAGUGUUGAAGCCUAGCACCUUAAGGUGUCCUUUGCAACUUGUUUCUUAUUUCCUCUUGGGCUGAGGAACAUUCCAACUUCAGUGUAAAGCCUCCCUCAAAUGGUUAAACUGUAGCCACUUUCCCUUCAUUCCUCAUUCUCUCUACUAAUUCACUUCUGUCAUACAGUGAACAGAUUGAAACUCUGCAUGGAAAGAAAAACUAAACUGAGCAGUAAUGAAUAAUACAUUGAAAGAAAAACAGUAAUAUCCACUCCUAUCAGCAAAGCCCAUCAUACUCACAAAGGGGAAUCUUCAUGAUUUAGUAUCAGAAUUCCUAUAUGCUACUCUCCAGUUUUGUGUUUUAUACCAAAUAUUAAAUGUUUCCUAAAAGUGCCUAUGAUACACAUCAAAAAUCACCAAAGAAGUUCAUUUCAGCCAUUUCAAAAAGUAUACAAAUAUUAUAUCUUAAUUUUUUUCCUAGUUCAAUUCACUGAAAGAAAUAGACAUCAUAAAGAAAGCAAACGUUUUCUCUGCCCUCCAAAGUUCAGUGCUUGACACCCAGCAAAAUUUGAAAGACUGUAACCAUGGUGAUAUUCAGAACCGCAGCUCUGUUCCUUCCACAGCUUCUAAGCUUGAAUAUCUAUCUACAGAUCACCACCUCCCCCACAGCAGCCACACUCAGAAUCCUUGGAAAUGUACUUUCGCCUUGCUUUAUGUCAUUCUCUUGAAAGUCUAAAGAAGCCAAUUUGAUGUUGCUGAUCUAGGGAGACCAUCAAGAAGACAUCUAUUCCUUCUCAGGGCUGUAGGCACAGAACUGCUGUUGACAUGGGUAAAAAAUUUUACCCUGAUAAGAAUGCAACUCGUGUGUGCCAGGUUUGGAAGAUACUCAGAGGAAGAAGGGGAAGGAAGGAUGGGGGAAGGAUUGUGGGAGGGGGUGAAUGGAAGAGGACAGUGGGUGGAAGUAAAGUGGAUAAGUAAAAAAAUUAAUUAAUUAAUUAAUUAAUUGGAAAGGAUGCAAAUCAAGCUGAUACAUUUCAGCUGUGCAUGUUAUAGUCACUGAAACAGGCCAAACUGAUAGGCAUGGCAUCUUUGACCUGUCUUUCUGAUUCUAUCAAGGUGUAAAAUUACCCUUUAACGUCAUGUCAGAACCACCAUUUACCAUAAAGACAAAUAACCUGUGACCAUUACUGCUAGCCAGCUCUCACUAAACGUCAUAAGUGUAGCUCACCUCUAAGGCAAGUCAGCUAAUAAGCUGAGUGGAUGAUGCUUCAGUGCUGCUUCGAGUUCCCUUAUUGCUCUACUAUCUUUAAUUUAUCAUGCUGCCUCUUUAUGGUAAACCUUUCAGAACAUUUGCUGCCUUAGACCUAGGGUUUUUUUAAUCCCUUUAUGAUAUUCUUUGACACUCACCUACAAAUGAGUACAUCUGCAAGGAGUUCAUACUGUUAUAAGAAUUAUCUAAUCUUUAUUUUGCUUCUCUUCUAUCUCACACAUUCCUAUUCUCCCAACGCUUUUCUUCAAAAUUAAAAACUAUACAUUGUUUUAUGUACAUAGACUUUUUCCUGCAUGGGUGCAUGUGCAUCUUGUAUGUCCUUAGUGGGUAUGGAAACAAAAGAAGAUAUUUGAUCUCCCAGAAUUGAACAGAUGUAUGGUUCAGAGCCACCAUGUGAAUGUUGAGAAUUAAACCCAGGUCUUCUGCAAAAGAAGCAAGUGCUCUGAAACACCAAUCCCUCUAGCCUGCCCCUUUAACCUAUUCUUCUUAUAUUUUAGUUUUGUGUACACAUGUGUGCACGUUCCUGUGGGGAGCGUAUGUGGUAUAUGAGUAUAUGCACCACAGGCUGCAGGAAUAUUGGGAAGCCAAAUGAUAACCUGGCGUGUUGCUCCAGUAUACAGUAACUUUAAUGUUUUUCAGAGCUGAUGAAUAACUUUAUUUGAUAUCUAACCCUUCUAAGAUCAUUCUUUUAUACAAAUACAAAAUGACAGAAGGAAAUUGAGGUCCACUUUAAAGCCUACUAGAAAUCCUGUCCUAAUACCAGGCUGAAAUUCAUUUAAUAGCUUUUUCUGAAAAUAUUCAACUCAAUUACUCAAGGAGCAAUAUUUAUAUUCAAGCAUUCUAGCAGAAACCAAAUAUAUACCCUUUUUUACAGGUUGAACAAUAAUGGCAGGAAAACAUUAAAAAAAAAAACUUUGAUUUAUGUAAUGAAACCAUUUUGCCUUUUAGGGGAUCAGAACAUUUUGAAUGUACCAUAAGAACUCUGAAAUUCAUAUCACACAAUACUCUAAAGUCAUGGUGCUUCCAGCAAUGUUGACAGGUUCCACAAUGGCAUAAGACAUGUACAGAAGGAAGGGAAUGCUUUGUGCUGGAAAUCAAGACUGUAGCAAAGUGGCAUGAUGUAACACACACGACACCUGACAAAAUACCAUAUACUUGGUUUUUAGUUGUGUUUUAAUCAGUGAGAGUGUGAAGACCUUACACUGUUGGCAGAUUCUUUACAACCUCCCACAAGCAAUGCAGAGCUUGGAAGCUGUGAGUUGAAGAGGAUGAUCCAUAAGAAAUAACCACACCUUUAAUGAAAGAAGAGGGCAAGGAUUUGAAAGAGGAAAGGGGGUGAGGUUCAUGAGAGGGUGUGGAGGAAGAACACUGGAAAGAAAAAUGAUGAUGUAUUUAUAUUAUAUCCUCAACAAAUACAAGAAAAAAUUAGAAAAAUUAUUUAAACAAAAGGAACAGCUUCAAGUGCAGAUAAUAUUAAGCAUAAAUAACUACAAAGUACACUAUAAAAGUCUACUUGAUUUUACCUGGGCUUUCAAAGUACUCUGUGGAGUUUGUUAUUAUCCAGUGAUAUUUAGCAAACUGAUUUUCUCAAGGAGAAAAUGUCCUGAUUUAUAGUAUUUACCAAUAUUGCCAUGUGGCCAAUUUUGAGUCACAAAUGUUUUAACUGCAAGCUCCCGUUGCUCCCAGAUAUUUAACAACCAGUAGCAGCAGUAGGGUCCUGCCCCUGCAUGCCAGUAGUUUCUCCUUUAUUUUGAAUAAAACUGUGGAUUUGUUACAUGCUUUCUCUGCUUAAUUUUAGAUUGUAUAUUUCCAAAAGGGCCACUAAGUUGAAAAAUCAGACUCCUUUGAAUAGUUAAAAUAACAAAACCUAUGGGAAAAGAAAUGUUUCCUUCUGAUUCAAGUCUGGACAGAGGGACAGGCUCUUCUAAGUGAGUUUGCUUCUCUUUUCUCCUAGUGUUACUCUUUCUCCUCCAAUUGAUAUCUGACUUCUCAGCCUAUCUGAAUCAGUGAAUGAGAGGAAAGGUACAACAACUAUCUGCAUCACUGAGACGAUCAUAUGCUAAUGCUAUUACCAUAGAACAUGGAAGAUAAACACAGCAGGCAGAUUCUUUCCACAUUAACUGAAUUUUUGAAAUGUCUCUCUCACAUCCAUCAGCUAUACUCUACAUCACCAUGGGAACUGGCUCUCUCCCUGUUCUAUUACUAUUCUUUCUUCUACCGCCAGCUUGAAAACUCAAGUAAUACUUAUAACCUCUUUGCUCUAAAAUCUACCUACUUCUCUAAACCAGAGUUCAACCAUGUUUUUCUGUAAAAGGCCAAAUGAAAAAAUAUUUUAGACUUUGAGAGACAAAUAGUUUCUGAGCCAGCUAUUCAACUCCAGUCUUUUAGCAACCACAUAUAAUAUAAAUGCAUGAACUGGCUAUGUUCUAGUAUUUACCAAAAAAGGCAAAAGAUUUGGCCGGUGGGUCAUGGCUUAUCUGCAGUUCUUUCAUACAGUCCUGGACAACAAGGACUAUGAUCAUGUUGAUUCAACUAUAUACACAGCAUGCAUCAUACCUUCACAGAUCUCUUGCUAUCCUAAUCCAGAAAAACAACUCAAUACUCCUUGAACUGCCCAAAGUUGACUGUUGUCACAAGGAUUCCAUGAGCAUCUUUAUGUAGUAGAGUACUGUGUUCCAAAUGCAGAGACCCACAGUAAUCUAUUCCACAUUGCUCUUAAGUUCUUUUCCUUUUUGAGUAGAUUAGGUUUUUAAAUAGUAUUCGAGAGAGUCAUUUGGGACAGAUAAGACUCAAAGUACAAAACAUAUAAUAUACUAAAACUCUUACAUCAAUUUAUAAUUUCUAUCUAUCUAUUCAUCUAUCUAUAUACAUCUACAUCUACCUACUUCUCUUUGUAGCUCUGGUUGUCCAAGAACUCAUUCUAUAUAUCUUUGUAGUCCAGGUUAGCCUCAAACUCAGAAAUCCAUCUGCACUAAUUCCCAGUACUGGGACUAAAGGUAUGUACCCCCCAAUGCCAGGCUAUUUCCUAGUUUGAAAACACUGCAUACAAUCCAGUGCCUACUUGAGGAAUGUGAAUUAUUAUCACAUAAAUUAUUAUUUACUUUUUCAUCAAUUUGAUCUGGCAGACACAACUUACAGGAGAAAGGGUUUCUUUUGGCUCUCAAUUGAGAGGAUCCUAUCAAGAGACAGGAGAGCAUGGGGGAAUGAUUCUGCCAAUGGGUGGCACAAUUUAAUCUCACUUUGUGGGAUUCAGUAGAGAGCUCAGGCUAGAAUUAGAUGUGAAUAUACCUUCAAGUCUCAACUCCUAGUGGCACACUUAUGCUACCUGGACCACAGUCCUAAAGGUUCCACCACCCCUCAAAGCAUUACCAUGAAAUGGAAAUAAAUGUCCCUACACAUGAGUCACAAGAGCUAAAUAAUGUUUGGAUGGUGGGUAGUACCUGGGAGCAAUGUAAGGGGAUGCUAGAUCAGUGAGGAAGGAGUGGAUGGAUUGGUGGGUGGAAGAGCACCCUCUUGGAGGCAAAGGGGAGGGGGAGGGGAUGGAGGGAGGGAAGACUGGGGAAAAGGACAACAUUUGAAAUGUAAAUAAAUAAAAUAACCAAUUUUAAAAAAAGAAGAAAACAGCUAAAUAAUGCUAAGGGCAUUCUUGACCUAUGUCGAGUAUAUCACUUACAUUUUACAGGAGACUUCCAUUAUAGUACCCAAAUGGGCCCACAUAAAUAAAUAGCAAGGAAGGAAUAUCUACAGAAAUCAGAGGAAGUUUUGUAUCUCAACCAAAGAGAGUUUUAACUCUAGUUGGCAAAUAUCAAAGUGCUUAGAGGUCUUCUUGAGUAAUAUAAGGGAUUAAUUUCUAUGAAAACAUAAAUUUUGCGAUGAGUUGGAUGUAUUUAAAACCAAGGAACAUUCUAACAGCAGGAAAAACAAGAGGAUUCUUACAGUUAAUACAUGACCCCUCAUAAGAUUAUAUCCUGGAAAACUGUGAGCUAAAAGGGGAUAUGCAGACAAGAAUGUAAAGAUAUGAAGAGAACUAGUUUCAGCAAGUGAAAGGAUACAAACUCUGAAGUUCCAUUCUUUUUAUUUUUACAUGUAAUAGCAUGUAAUAGCAGAGAAAAAUAAUCAGAGCAUGAAAAUGAGAAAAAAAAGAAUAAUGAGAGAAAUGAUAAUUCAUUCAGUAGCAUUUUGAGUUUGAGGUAAUAUUAGCAGACAAGAAGAAGCAAAAAAAAAA